ACGUAAGGAGCAAGCGUUGUCCGGAUUUACUGGGCGUAAAGAGAUCGUAGGCGGCCGAUCAAGUCUCUCGUAAAAUCCCCCGGCUCAACCGGGGAGGGGCACGGGAAACCGGGCUGCUUGAGUACCGAAAAGGAAAGCGGAAUUCCCGGUGUAGCGGUGAAAUGCGUAGAUAUGGGGAGGAACACCAGUGGCGAAGGCGGCUUUCUGGUCUGUGUCUGACGCUGAGGCGCGAAAGCCAGGGGAGCGAACGG
rnacentral:rRNA from 1 species